UUUAUCAAAUCUGGCCCUCCUCGAAAAAAGUUUGGACACCCCUGCCGUAGACAGUUACACAGUAGGGUAAAAGGUACUGCGGUCUAGAGCAGAUGGAGCUAGCCGGCCAUGGGUGAGAAAAUCAACAGAAUUCACAGACCAUCGUGUUGUACAAAAAGGCUAGUGUGUACUGUAGAUUACAGGCCCACGUGUAUGGCGUUGAAUGAGCGCCGGUAUUGGGCAGGCUUCUGGCGUUCUCGGGCAAGUGGGUGCUCCUGGGAGAUCCUACUUGGUUGGAAGCGCCUCCAAGACAAUGCCAAUUUCCCAACUAUUAAGAAUUGGCCUAAAUUUCCACACUUAUCAAGUCCUUUACUCUUUCACACAGGCGCCAUUUAUUUUGCCCUCUAUUGACGGAAUCUCAUUCCUGAUUUUUGAUUGUGGAUGCGUCAUUCAGUUUCACUUUUUCUCUAACUGUUUUCUAUUUUCAACUUUGGCCAUGAAAUAUGUUACUCAUAUAUAUUUACCCACAUUUAGAGAGAUUUUAUUUCUUUGCUCCUGCACACCAGCACUUGGUAUCUGUUUACUGCGCUUGAGGUAACUUCAACAUUAAUAUUGUUUCAUUGCAAUCCUCCUGUACUCCAGCGCAUUAUUUCUGACAGGUGCGGAGGUUCCCUUGAAUCAAAUGCCACUUUUAUUGUUUUUCCCUUAGCGCUUUAGCAUUUGAUAUAUGCUUAAAACUUGAUAAUCUAUGGCGCAUGUCCGUUCUUUUAUCAUUGGGAUUUUCCCACGGGAAUUUCUGCCUUUAGUGCAUCAUCCCGAACAUGCAUAGAGGUCUUUCCUACACGCCGAAUACCACAAUUACAGACAUGUGCAGUGCACAGUUUUGCAAAUCUUGACAUAUUCCGGAAUUGUGAUCUCCUAAGAAUUUUUCAACCUUUAAGAUAUCGUUAUCUGCUCCCCUAACUAAAGAUAUAAUACAGGUGAGGACAGCAUAAGAGGCUACUAGAAAUAUAUUUUCUCUUCCUCUUAUGAAGUAGAAGAUAAUCAAGUGCGACUUGUUAGUAAUAGAACUAAAAACAGACUGGGUGAAAUGUCUGCAAGAUCUGAAUAUAGUAAACUUUUUGAAAGGACAUUUCAGGAAACUCAACAAAAUGAAAGGUUAUUUAAAUGUCCAGAAUGUGAGAAAUCAUUUACUACAAAAGCAUAUUUUGUUGAACAUCAGAGAAUUCACACAGGAGUUAAGCCAUAUUCGUGUCCGGAAUGUGAGAAAUGUUUUACUUCAAAAUUACAAUUGGUGAGACAUCAGAGAAUUCACACAGGAGAGAAGCCAUAUUCAUGUCCUGAAUGUGAGAAAUGUUUUAGUCAAAAAUCAUGUCUUGUUGUGCAUCAGAGAAUUCACACAGGAGAGAAGCCAUUUACAUGUCCUGAAUGUGAGAAAUGUUUUAGUCAAAAAUCAUAUCUUGUUGUGCAUCUGAGAAUUCACACAGGAGAGAAGCCAUUUUCAUGUCCUGAAUGUACAAAGUACUUUAGUCGGAAAUCACAUCUUGAUGGACAUCAGAGAAUUCACACAGUAGAAAAGCCAUUUUCAUGUCCUGAAUGUAAGAAGUGUUUUAGUCAGAAAUCAGUUCUUGUCCGACAUCAGAGAAUUCACAUGGAAGAGAAACCAUUUUCAUGU